CGAUGCAACUACACUGAAUCAAGGCUGUUUUUCAAGCGGCCAACUAGUUGGCGACCACGUAUCUUAAGGGAUCUUAUGAUAUCGGUCGCAUCGGAAAUGUCAGGACAAUCCUCUGGAUCUAAUGAAAGAGCCUCUCAGCUUCCAGUUCAGGUAUUAACCCUUCAGGCAUCAAAUUUAACAUCUGAAGAUCUAACUAUGACAGUUCUUGCUCCUGCCUCAUUUACUUCUCCUCCUUCAGUG
rnacentral:misc_RNA from 1 species